AAAGGAAUAGACGGGGGCCCGCACAAGCGGUGGAGCAUGUGGUUUAAUUCGACGCAACGCGAAGAACCUUACCUGGGCUUGAACUGUCGGCGACGGCGGCGGAGACGCCGUUUCCCGCGAGGGCGCCGGCAGAGGCGCUGCAUGGCUGUCGUCAGCUCGUGUCGUGAGAUGUUGGGUUAAGUCCCGCAACGAGCGCAACCCUUGCCCCUAGUUGCCAGCGGGUAGUGCCGGGGACUCUAGGGGGACCGCCCGGGUCAACCGGGAGGAAGGUGGGGAUGAUGUCAAGUCCUCAUGGCCCUUAUGUCCAGGGCUACACACGUGCUACAAUGGGCGGCACAGACCGGAGCGGGGCCGCGAGGCCGGGCGAAUCGGUGAAAGCCGCCCUCAGUUCGGAUUGCAGCCUGCAACUCGGCUGCAUGAAGUUGGAAUCGCUAGUAAUCGUGCAUCAGAACGGCACGGUGAAUACGUUCCCGGGCCUUGUACACACCGCCCGU
rnacentral:rRNA from 1 species